rnacentral:rRNA from 1 species
AGUCGAGCGAGCUUGCCUAGAUGAAUUUGGUGCUUGCACCAGAUGAAACUAGAUACAAGCGAGCGGCGGACGGGUGAGUAACACGUGGGUAACCUGCCCAAGAGACUGGGAUAACACCUGGAGACAGAUGCUAAUACCGGAUAACAACACUAGACGCAUGUCUAGAGUUUAAAAGAUGGUUCUGCUAUCACUCUUGGAUGGACCUGCGGUGCAUUAGCUAGUUGGUAAGGUAACGGCUUACCAAGGCAAUGAUGCAUAGCCGAGUUGAGAGACUGAUCGGCCACAUUGGGACUGAGACACGGCCCAAACUCCUACGGGAGGCAGCAGUAGGGAAUCUUCCACAAUGGACGCAAGUCUGAUGGAGCAACGCCGCGUGAGUGAAGAAGGGUUUCGGCUCGUAAAGCUCUGUUGGUAGUGAAGAAAGAUAGAGGUAGUAACUGGCCUUUAUUUGACGGUAAUUACUUAGAAAGUCACGGCUAACUACGUGCCAGCAGCCGCGGUAAUACGUAGGUGGCAAGCGUUGUCCGGAUUUAUUGGGCGUAAAGCGAGUGCAGGCGGUUCAAUAAGUCUGAUGUGAAAGCCUUCGGCUCAACCGGAGAAUUGCAUCAGAAACUGUUGAACUUGAGUGCAGAAGAGGAGAGUGGAACUCCAUGUGUAGCGGUGGAAUGCGUAGAUAUAUGGAAGAACACCAGUGGCGAAGGCGGCUCUCUGGUCUGCAACUGACGCUGAGGCUCGAAAGCAUGGGUAGCGAACAGGAUUAGAUACCCUGGUAGUCCAUGCCGUANACGAUGAGUGCUAAGUGUUGGGAGGUUUCCGCCUCUCAGUGCUGCAGCUAACGCAUUAAGCACUC